CAUUCGCCCGGAUGCGCCUCACGUGAUGGCGAGUUAACGAAAGCUUGCAUCAAACAUUCACAAAGGACACGGUGUGAACAACCACUAGACGUAAAAGCAGCAAGAACAGGGAUAGUACGCUGCAAUGUUGUCUUCUUACCCCGCGUCCCUUUCAUUGUCAAGCUUUGGAAGAGCUCCAAGGACGCGUUUUCGUCCUUGGCAAUGCGAGAUCAUUCCACGUAGCUCAUCCAGGGCGAACAGUCGAUCUCAUCCCUCCACCUCACUUCAAGUUUGUCCAAAAUCACUUGGAAUCGAAAGAAUAUAUGAUUUUCGGAUUAGAUUUUUGGAUUUUGAAUUUGAAAUGGGCCUAGGGCGGAUCUGAAUUUUAUCCAUCUUCCACCAAGUUUGGAACUCUAAAUCCACCCUCUAUAUAUAUAUAUUCUCUUUAACGUUCAAUGGGGGGGAUAAUUUUUUGGGGGGAGAUUUUAGUCUAGAGAAUUCUUGGAUAUAAAAAAAAUUAAAGAGAUUUAGUUUGGUCUUUGGUGAAGAGAACCUGUUGAGUACUUGAAAAAGAUCGAGAGAAUAGUCAAUUCUGGUCCUGUUUUCUCUUUUUCAUUUUGCUGCCAAAGCUCUUCAUUUUGUACGAGUUUUUGUUCUUUGUUCGGGUUUGUGUUGGUGUGGAAGUUUCCGCCCUUUCAAGAUCGUUCGUCUCCCAGUCGCUGGGGAGAAAGUCCAUUUGGACUCCAUUUCCCUCCUCGCAUACCUUGUUUGAGACACAUAGGCUCAAACCUUUACCCCAAGUCGGUCAUACCCCUCUCGAAACUGCUGGACAGGUUAAGAGCAGCAUUACACUGCUGGAAAUUAGUUUUCCAGCCCCGGAAGGUCAAAGAACAGGCUGAUAUAUCUGAUUUAUACAAUAAUAUACAAUCAAAAAAAAUGAUAUACAGGUCAAAACGUUCUACUACAGGAUAAAAAAGCAAAAAAUACGAAAAUCCUUAUAAACUACAGGUUUUGGAGUCCGAGAAUCAAUGAUAUACAUGGUGUAUACGCCAAAUAUACACUUUUUGUAUACCAUGGUAAAUGAGAAUGAAAGGGGACUGAGAGCCCAAGAAGAAAUUCCAAUAACAUUUGAACAGGCCCAAACAAUUUUGGGUCACUUUUAGGGUAGGACAGGUCAUUGAAUUUGGAAUUUGGGCUAAAAGCACAAGUUCAAUAUCUCUAUUUUCUAAUUCUACUCCCUUUUAUUGUAUUUUGACUAACUUUCUUUACUUUGUGGUUUUAAUUUAAUUAACUCUCCAAAGAUUUGCCAUUUCAUUUAAUUUUAUAUUUUAAUUUGAA